rnacentral:rRNA from 1 species
AUUGAACGCUGGCGGCAGGCCUAACACAUGCAAGUAGAGCGGAGCGGCGGACGGGCGAGUAAUGCCUAGGACUCUGCCUGGUAGUGGGGGAUAACGUCUGGACACGGGCGCUAAAACCGCAUACUCUCAGAUGAGCCUAGGUCGGAUUGGCAAGAGGGUGGGGUAAAGGCCGACCAAGGUGACGAACCGUAACUGGUCUGAGAGGAUGAUCAGUCACACUGGAACUGAGACACGGUCCAGACUCCUGCGGCAGACAGCAGUGGGGAAUAUUGGACAAUGGGCGAAAGCCUGUUACGGCCAUGCCGCGUGUGUGAAGAAGGUCUUCGGAUUGUAAAGCACUUUAAGUUGGGAGGCGUUACCAACAGAAUAAGCACCGGCUGACUUCGUGCCAGCAGCCGCGGUAAUAC